CUCCUCUUCCUGAUCAUCCCAGAUACACCCCAUGAUGGCUGUGUCGUCUGCAAACUUCUGACUUCUAGCGACUUUUAGGACAGCCAAUAGCGUCAGGCGGAAAUUAAAAGUAUUAUUAAGCUAGAAAUAAGGCGUAGAUGGCAAAAACAGUGGGAAGAAGAAAGGAGGGGAAGGUGGUUAUAUAAAAUUAAAAGGAGGUUGGGGGAACGGAGAGCCACAGGAAGGAGUAGGCGAGAGGAGGUGGUGGUGUCAAAAAUUGUCAAGAUUUGGACAUCCAGGAUUGAAUUCUACACUAUUCUUGAUAGGGAAACCUAAUUCAGGGACAUAUGAUUAUUGUGGAGAGGAGGAAACUUUAGCGCAUGUUAUUUUGUAGUGGCUGAAGUAUAAGGUAGAUUGGAGACAACUGCUUCAAAGUCUCAGUAACAUUUACAUGAAAUUGGAUCUUAUUAAGUUAUUGCAAAAGGAGUCAAGGAAUAAAAGUUAUCAGGCUUUAAGUUUUUGAGAGACAGAAGAUUGUUUGGAAGGAUAUGAGGGAGGUUUUUUUUGUUGUUGUUGUUUUUAGCAUGAUUCCUGUCCACACUCCAUACCAGUGGUGGCAGUAAUGCACCAUGCAGUUGUUUGCCAACCGCCAAUAACACUUAAAAGAAGAAGAAGGAAGAAGAGUCGGCAAGACUGGUUCCGGUUCAUUCUUGCUCAGAGAAAGUUCCACAUACUUAAGCUUAAGCAGUAUGGAAAUGUAAUCAGAUGCCAUCCACUCUGAAUGAUCAGGUUGGGAUGCCUUUUCAUCGCAUGUUCAUAAAAACAAUUAUACAAGCUGCAA